GAGAGAGAGAGAGAGAGAGAGAGAGAGAGAGAGAGAGAGAGAGAGAGAUUGUUGUUGUUUUAUAUUUACCAGCUUGUUGACUGGAUGGGCUGCAAAAUAUCGGAUCAAAAGCUCUUAUGAAAAAAAAAUAACAGCUGAGGGUGGAGGUAAGGGUAUGUGAUGCCUAUGGACGCGAUGGGAAUGAUGGAAUGCAUGUUGAAGGAAUGAGGUGAGGGAGGUAUGAAGGGGGCAUUAUGCAUUUGUGACGAGUGUGUGGGAAGGAAUACAUAGGAAUACAUAGGAAGAACAGACACCAGAAGACCUAUCGGUCUAUGGCGAGGGUGUCUGUUUACUACCGCUACUACUAGUAAUCUACGUGUGGCAGGACAGGACAGAAAAUAUGAAGGCUUCUCCCCACCCACCUCUCCCUCCGGCAACGUGCCGGCAGGAAAUAGUUAGAAGAGAACACCAUGUACCUUUAAGGAAGAAAGGGACAUGGAAAUUUUACAGUAAAGAGUGAAAUAAGAGGAAAUUACUACCCUUAACUUACACUACUGGUAACCUAGGCUGUGGGGGAAAAUGACUUCAUUACAUAAGAACAUAAGAACACAGAAACACAAGGAGAAUGGAAGAGGACGAGUGGCCUACACAGGGCAGCCUCAGGAUCCCCCCUAAUACUCACGAUGGGUGAGGUGUAGUUUUAGGGGCACAGGUGGAGGCUUGAUCCUCGUUUUACCGGCGGUACUAGGCACGGCACCAGUAACCUGUCACCUUACUGCACCCACACCUCACUCCACCUGUCAUGCGGACAUCAACUGUUGCUUUACUCUAUUGUUAACUUACGCUACUUGCAAUCUAGGUUGUGGGGGAGAAUAAUAUGAAUUUAGGUUGACGUCUUGCUGCAAUCUGUCUGAAAACAUGCGAAGAAGGGUCAGUAUAAUCUUAUAUCCCUGAAGUACUUAUCCAAUGAAGACUUGAAGCUAUUGAUACUCUGUGCGCUAACUACUGACGGUGGGAGUCUAUUCCAGUGAUCGACGACUCUAUUAUUGAAAAAACUUUUGCGCACCAAUGUGUUACAUCGGUUUCCCUUUAACUUCAUACCGUUGCUGCGUGUUAUUGUGUUGGUGUCUCUCUGAAAUAGACUAUCUGGGUUAAUGUUGUCGAAUCCAUUAAGGAUUUUGAACAUUUCAAUUAAGUCCCCUCUUAUCCUUCGCUUUUUUAGGGAAAACAUAUCUAAACGCUUUAAACGCUCGUCAUAUGGCAUGUUUCGGAGCGCUGGAAUUUGUUUGGUUGCUCGUCCCUGUAUCCUUUCUAGCAAAACUUGAUCUUUGAUAUAGUUCGGUGACCAGAACUGAAUGGCGUAUUCUAGGAGUGGUCUUACAAAUGCUAAAUAUAAUCUCUUCAUAAGUUCGGGUGAUUUAUAAUCAAAGUUUCUUGAGAUUAAUCCUAACAUCAUAUUGGCUUUUUUACUCGCUGCAGAACAUUGAUCACUCAUUUUAAGAGUGUUACUGAUAAUGACACCAAUAUCUUUUUCUUGUUUUACUUCGCUGAGCUCAUGUCCUUGAAUCUGAUAUUUAAAGUUAGGAUUUAUCUACGUUAAAACUCAUUUGCCAUUUUUCGCUCCAGUCGGCAAGUCUUAUUUAAAGUUUAUUUAAAGUUAGGAUUUUUUUCACCUAUGUGCAUUACUUUACAUUUAUCUACGUUAAAACUCAUUUGCCAUUUUUCGCUCCAGUCGGCAAGUCUUAUUAAGUCUGAUUGAAUCUUUUCGCAACUUUCACUGUUCGUUACCGUACCUCCUAAUUUGGUGUCGUCGGCGAAUUUGGCUACUUUUGAUAGAAUACCAGUUUCUGAGUCGUUCACGUAAAUUAUGAAAAGUGUUGGCCCCAGGACCGAACCUUGGGGCACGCCAUUGGUGACGGGUUGCCAAUCCGAUGCUUCACCAUUAAGAACUACACGUUCUUCUCUGUCGGUGAGCCAGUCAUGAAUCCACGCAUAUAAAUGGUCGUUAAUACCGUGGGAACGCAGUUUAGAAAUAAGCCUAACGUGAGGAACUUUAUCAAACGCUUUCUGAAAAUCUAGGUAAAUUACGUCAUAUGGGCUUCGGGCGUCCCAACAUGUAUGAACAUCGUUGAAAAAAGUUAAUAGGCUGGUAAGGCAAGACCGAUUACUACGAAAUCCGUGCUGACUAUCAGUCAUCAAAUCAUUUGUUUCAAGGAAAGUGAUCAUUUUAUUCCUGAUCAUUUUUUCGAAUAGUUUAAUUAGGACAGACGUAAGGCUGAUAGGACAGCAGCAGUGACCAGUAUAUAAUGCAUACUCGUAUGGAGUAUGCAUCUCACGUGUGGGAAGGCUCCACUCACACAGCUCUUCUGGACAGAGUGGAGUCUAACGCUCUUCGUCUCAUCAGCUCUCCUCCUCCUACUGAUAGUCUUUUACCUCUUAAAUUCAAGAAACUGAAUUUCAAACAGAAGAGAGGAUGGAGUUAAAACCUUAGAACUCAAACCCUCUGUUCGUGUUACAUGAACCAAACCCCGAGAGAAUUUCUCUCGGUUUUGAAAAUAAAUAAAUAGAACACCUUAAUUUUUUUUAUUACGAAACAUACACUGAAAACAUAAAUCUUACUCUUCGAUUUGAGCCACAAUAAAUAUAAUCUGUUCUUUAAAUUAAUACUGUUCUUGUGCUUUGAAAAAAUGACGAUUUUCCUACAUGUCUUAACAUAAAUAUUCAUUAAAAAAAAAACCAUUUCUGCUCUGAUGUGAAGGUGUAGAGGUCGUCUGAGCUUACCCUGUCUGCGUCCCAGCGCUCUACCGCCACUGGGAGCUGUAUGGGAGUUACGGAAAAAAAGGGUAUUUUUUUCGAUAGUCAAAAAACAAAAAUUCUUCACAUUUUUAGCAAGGCUAAUGUGGCGCAACUGGUACCAAAACACCACACAUAUAUUACGGCGGCAGCAGAGGUAGAGCCAACAGGAGCUGGAGAUAUGGCAUGAACGGCAGCAGAGGUAGAGCCAACAGGAGCUGGAGAUGUGGCAUGAACGGCAGCAGAGGUAGAGCCAACAGGAGCUGGAGAUGUGGCAUGAACGGCAGCAGAGGUAGAGCCAACAGGAGCUGGAGAUGUGGCAUGGACGGCAGCAGAGGUAGAGCCAACAGGAGCUGGAGAUGUGGCAUGGACGGCAGCAGAGGUAGAGCCAACAGGAGCUGGAGAUGUGGCAUGGACGGCAGCAGAGGUAGAGCCAACAGGAGCUGGAGAUGUGGCAUGGACGGCAGCAGAGGUAGAGCCAACAGCAGCUAGAGAAGUGGCAGGUGGAGGUGGCCGCAUGUUUCACUGGAACACAAAGAAAUACAAAGAAAGGACAAACAACAGCAGACCUGGUGGUCCUUACGAGGCUGUUUGUGACAAGCUACACUAACUAAUCAAAGGUGGAAGAUGAAAGACAGCAAAGGCGAAGGCUCCUCCCAACCUCCCCAUCUCUCCAGCUAAAGCUGGCAGGAAAGGAAAAAGAACCAUGCAGCAUGAAAAAACUGCAUGGAAAUUUGUAGGAAAGAGGAAAGAACUACCAUUACUGCUACCACUAACCGGGCGAUAAAAGCGGACAAGGACACCAGUAUUCGAAAGAACUUAACGUUAUUACGACAAUGAGUAAUAUCUUAGUUGCUGGUUGGAUUCAAAAUACUUGUCUAACCUAUUCUUGAAGGCCGUAACUGUUGUACUAUGAACGACAUCACAGGGUAGAGAGUUCCAAACAUUAACAACUCGAUUGAAGAAAAAGUGUUUAGCUUCGUGCGACAAGAAUCUUUUACCACUUAUCUUCAAAUUGUGAUUUCUUCUUGUUCUAUUUGAUCGAUCAAUUGUAAAGUAAUCUUCCGCAUUAAUAUCACUGAAUCCUUUAAACAUUUUAAACACUUAUAUUAGAUCGCCUCGCAUUCUUCGUUUUGAUAGACUGAAUAAAUUUACUUCUUUAAGCCUU